rnacentral:rRNA from 1 species
GACGAACGCUGGCGGCGUGCCUAAUACAUGCAAGUCGAGCGGGCCUCCGGAGGUGCUUGCACCUCCGGAAGGCCAGCGGCGGGCGGGUGAGUAACACGUGGGCAACCUGCCUUUGAGGCCGGGAUAACACCGGGAAACCGGUGCUAAUACCGGAUACGUCCUCUUUCGCGCCUGCGAGAGGGGAGAAAGACGGUCUUUAAGGCCGUCGCUCAAAGAGGGGCCCGCGGCGCAUUAGCUGGUUGGUGGGGUAAGGGCCUACCAAGGCGACGAUGGGUUGCCGACCUGGGAGGGUGAUCGGCCACACUGGGACUGAGACACGGCCCAGACUCCUGCGGGAGGCAGCAGUAGGGAAUCAUCCGCAAUGGGCGAAAGCCUGACGGUGCAACGCCGCGUGAGUGAGGAAGGUUUUCGGAUCGUAAAGCUCUGUUGUGAGGGAAGAACAGCUUCCGGAGGAAAUGCCGGAGGUUUGCCGGUACCUCACCAGAAAGCCCCGGCUAACUACGUGCCAGCCGCCGCUGUAA